rnacentral:rRNA from 1 species
CGACGCGCCGAAGAUUAACGGGGCUAAAACCUGAUACCGAAGCUUAGGAAUGAUUUUUAAUCAUUGGUAGAGGAGCAAUGUAUGCGCGCAGAAGCCGUAUCGAAAGGGGCGGUGGAGUGCAUACAAGAGAGAAUGCCGGUAUAAGUAGCGAAAGUGAGGUGAGAAUCCUCACCAUCGAAAGUCUAAGGUUUCCUGGGGAAGGUUCGUCCCCCCAGGGUCAGUCGGGGCCUAAGUCGAGGGCGAAAGCCGUAGAUGAUGGACAGUAGGUUGAUAUUCCUGCACCGCCACUGGACGUUUUUACCGAUGCAAUGACACAGAAGGAUAGUUGAUCCCCGCGGAUGGUAAAGUGGGGUCGGCACACGAGGCCGGAGCGUAGUGAAGUACGCGCUCCGUUAAGGCAGAGUGUGAGGUUAAGCGAAAUUAAGUAGUAGUUUCAAUGAAUCCACGCUGGCGAGAAAAGUUGCUAGGGAGAAAAGUGGCGCCCGUACCGCAAACCGACACAGGUAGACGAUGAGAGAAUCAUAAGAUGAUCGGGAGAACUCUUGUUAAGGAACUCGGCAAAAUGACCCCGUAACUUCGGGAGAAGGGGUGCCACAGCGAUGUGGCCGCAGUGAAUAGUCCCAAGCAACUGUUUAUCAAAAACACAGGUCUCUGCUAAAUCGAAAGAUGAAGUAUAGGGGCUGACGCCUGCCCAGUGCUGGAAGGUUAAGGGGAGCUGUUAGCGCAAGCGAAGCGGUGAACUUAAGCCCCAGUGAACGGCGGCCGUAACUAUAACGGUCCUAAGGUAGCGAAAUUCCUUGUCAGGUAAAUUCUGACCCGCACGAAUGGCGUAAUGAUUUGGGAACUGUCUCAACAAGAGACCCGGCGAAAUUGUAGUAUACGUGAAGAUGCGUAUUAACCUGCGACUGGACGGAAAGACCCCGUAGAGCUUUACUGUAGCUUGGUAUUGAAUUUCGGCAAUGAAUGUACAGGAUAGGUGGGAGACUUGGAAGCCUCGGCGUCAGCUGAGGUGGAGUCACCCUUGGGAUACCACCCUUUUAUUGCUGGGGUUCUAACGGUGUGCCGUUAUCCGGGCACCGGACAUUGCCAGGUGGGCAGUUUGACUGGGGCGGUCGCCUCCCAAAAAGUAACGGAGGCGCCCAAAGGUUCCCUCAGAAUGGUUGGAA